CAAACAGAUCACAAGGGUCUUGUCUAUUGAAGAGAUGAGGGUUGAAACCCUAGUGGCCACCGUCUCGUUCCUUUUCUCUUUUCUUCGCCAUCGUUGCUAUUUUUUGCAAAAGGUCAGGUGUACAACACCUUUUACAAACCUGGCAUGGUUGAUUGAGGCAAACAUUUUCUCUCCACCAAGUCUCAACCAAACAAGUUGUUGAGGAGUUCAAGGGAUCUCCAAUUUCAAUUCUCGACAAAGAAAAAGUCGCUUGGGCAAAAUAUAUACUUCAAGCCAAUAUUGGGCCAGAGGCCCAACAUUCCUAUUUCUUCAAUCAAGUUCGUCGUUUAGAAAGCCCAACCAUGAGUGAAAAUGGCAACUAGUGGGCUUCGGUAGCCCCACUAGCCUAACUUUCUCUUUUGAUUUUCAUAAAAUGUAUAUGUGCAUGUAUGUAAAGAAUGCUUGUGUAAAUAUUGGAACCCCAAUAGAUACAAACUUAGAAAUUUUAGCCAAA